rnacentral:rRNA from 1 species
UGCCGGAGCCGUAUCGCCUGGUUUCACACUGACGCUAAGCAGGGUUGAGCCUGGUCAGUACCUGGAUGGGAGACCUCCUGGGGGAAAGCUAAGGCUGCUGAUGGAA